AUGAACGCUGGCGGCGUGCCUAAUCCAUGCAAGUCGAGCUAACAGACGAGGAGCUUGCUCCUCUGACGUUAGCGGCGGACGGGUGAGUAACACGUGGAUAACCUACCUAUAAGACUGGGAUAACUUUGGGAAACCGGAGCUAAUACCGGAUAAUAUAUUGAACCGCAUGGUUCAAUAGUGAAAGACGGUUUUGCUGUCACUUAUAGAUGGAUCCGCGCCGCAUUAGCUAGUUGGUAAGGUAACGGCUUACCAAGGCGGCGAUGCGUAGCCGACCUGAGAGGGUGAUUGGCCACACUGGAACUGAGAAACGUUACAGACUCCUAGGGGAGGCAGCAGUAGGGAAUCUUCCGCAAUGGGCGAAAGCCUGACGGAACAACGCCGCGUGAUGUAUGAAGGUCUUCGGAUCGUAAAACUCUGUUAUUAGGGAAGAACAAAUGUGUAAGUAACUAUGCACGUCUUGACGGUACCUAAUCAGAAAGGCACGGCUAACUACGUG
rnacentral:rRNA from 1 species